rnacentral:rRNA from 1 species
AAAUUGAAGAGUUUGAUCAUGGCUCAGAUUGAACGCUGGCGGCAGGCCUAACACAUGCAAGUCGAACGGUAACAGGAAGCAGCUUGCUGCUUUGCUGACGAGUGGCGGACGGGUGAGUAAUGUCUGGGAAACUGCCUGAUGGAGGGGGAUAACUACUGGAAACGGUGGCUAAUACCGCAUAACGUCGCAAGACCAAAAAGGGGGACCUUCGGGCCUCUUGCCAUCAGAUGUGCCCAGAUGGGAUUAGCUUGUUGGUG